rnacentral:lncRNA from 1 species
CCUUCACAAACUAAUACAAUCAACAGCAUACGGGAUCUAAAUAUUGCAAAGAAAAAGGGGGCACCCCGGAGACUUCAGAGAAAAAGUCCGUUGGAGUCAAAGAAAUUAGGGGUUUGUUCAUCUUUUCACGUCUCUAUUCUUCAACAGCCAUGAAUUUGUACUGUGAUUUCAUUUUAUUGUACACGCAACCAAGUUCAAUGGUAAGCAAAGGAAAUUGAUUGAGACCAAGGCACAGUAAUAAUGAAGAGGCUGCACCUGAAUUUGUAGCUUCGCAAUAACAAUAUUCGAUGCGAACAUCAUUCUCUUAUUCACAACUAUUGUUGGUGAGUACCAUCAUAUUAUUAAACUAUUUGUUUUAGGUGUUAUUCACAUUCUUUUUUUAUGUAGGGUGAUGCCGAAAGCUUUGCGUGUACACGACCCUUGCCAACAUCGGAUGCGAUCCCACCAUUGCCAACGAGUGUUAUAUUCAAUCCACAAGGUGAUGGUGAGGUUAAUUCAUUACAUUUCUAUAUGAUCUCUUCAAAUACGUGUACUAAUAUUUGUACUGUUUGACAGGUCAUACGUUUCCUUACUACAAUACGCAUAUGCCACAGCAAGGUUGUUCAACCUCAUUUAUAGUGUUUUAUUGAGAUAUUUAUGCCUCUAGUUUUGUAUUUUGUAUCUUUCUACUAUGUGGAAUUUGACACGCUGCUUUUUUCAUGUCGUUGUCUCAUGUAGGAUCAAAUUGGUUAUGUUUCUGGAGUUACUUUGUGCAUGUAGCAUACAUGAUAGUUGUGCAUUCUUCUGGCACGAUGCUUGCUAUGUUUAUAAAUUAUUUGAGCUGUUAUCUGAAUUCGAGGAACCUAUCGGCUGCUAUAUUUUAGCAUCAUCCCCAAAUUUAUACGGUAGAUAAUGCCCUAGUCAAAUGAUUGCUUGUUAGGAAUUUUGAAUUUGAAUUGUAAAGUACUAGAAUGGUUUCUCUAGCUCUCUAGAAAUGUGUCGACUUCUUCAUCCCCAUCUUUCUUUUCAUCGUAGUAAUUUUUUUUUUUUUUUUUGGGUGCAUGUGUGUGUUGUGAGUGGAUGGGUUUUAAUCUAAAGUCCAAUCCAUUUGAUCUAGUUUUAGAGUUGUUUUAAUCUUUGUUGCUAUGUGGCAGAAUUUAAUCCAUUUUUCGUUUUCAUUCCAGCAUUAAAUGAAGCAUUAACAGGGGAGAUACGACAUUUGAAGAUUGCAACUGCUGAAUUGGGUGGCCAUACAAUUGAGAAGAAUCUGUAGCUUUCAAUAACUUUGAGCACUUCAUCUCCUUUACUUGUAGUUUUGUACAGUUU